rnacentral:lncRNA from 1 species
AGAAACACAUGCUCCAGGGUGGUGGUAUGAACAAGGCGCGAGUUCCUGCAUCUUCCAAGCUCAACACUGCACUAAUACCCCGAAAGAAAUAAAACAAAGAAAACAAAAGAAUAAAAAGAAACAAAAAGAACGAAAAACAAAAUAAAGAAGAAACGGUUGGGUUACCUCCCAACAAGUGCUUAAUUUAACGUCUAGAGCUCGACGAUACCUCAUGGCCUCAAUGAACAUCAAACGCAGCGGGUGUGACAGACCGCCCAACACGAAC